rnacentral:rRNA from 1 species
CUCCUAUCUAUAUUGGGAUAAUACCGUUACUUUGAGAAAAUUAGAGUGUUUGAAGCAGGCUAAUUGCCUUGAAUACUGCAGCAUGGAAUAACAAUAUAGGAUUUCGGUUCUAUUUUGUUAGUUUCUAGGCAACUGAAAUAAUCAUUAAUAGGGACAGUUCCGGGCAUUCGUAUUUAACUUCUGAGGUNAAAUUCUUAGAUUUGUUAAAGACGAACUACUGCGAAANCAUUUGCCAAAGA